GAAAUGCGAUAAGUAAUGUGAAUUGCAGAAUUCAGUGAAUCAUCGAAUCUUUGAACGCACAUUGCGCCCUUUGGUAUUCCGAAGGGCAUGCCUGUUCGAGCGUCAUUAUAACCACUCAAGCUCUCGCUUGGUAUUGGGGUUCGCGGUCUCGCGGCCCCUAAAAUCAGUGGCGGUGCCUGUCGGCUCUACGCGUAGUAAUACUCCUCGCGAUUGAGUCCGGUAGGUGACUUGCCAGCAACCCCUAAAUUUUUCAGGUUGACCUCGGAUCAGGUAGGGAUACCCGCUGAACUUAA
rnacentral:misc_RNA from 1 species